UGAUAAGACUGUGCCUAAUUUCCUUUGGAGAC
rnacentral:piRNA from 1 species